CAAUGCCGCGUGAGUGAAGAAGGCCUUCGGGUUGUAAAGCUCUUUUGUCAGGGAAGAAACACCGGCUCUAACACAGUCCGGGAAUGACGGUACCUGAAGAAUAAGCACCGGCUAACUACGUGCCAGCAGCCGCGGUAAUACGUAGGGUGCGAGCGUUAAUCGGAAUUACUGGGCGUAAAGCGUGCGCAGGCGGUUAUACAAGACAGGCGUGAAAUCCCCGGGCUUAACCUGGGAAUGGCGCCUGUGACUGUAUAGCUAGAGUGUGUCAGAGGGGGGUAGAAUUCCACGUGUAGCAGUGAAAUGCGUAGAUAUGUGGAGGAAUACCAAUGGCGAAGGCAGCCCCCUGGGAUAACACUGACGCUCAUGCACGAAAGCGUGGGGAGCAAACAGGAUUAGAUACCCUGGUAGUCCACGCCCUAAACGAUGCUGACUAGUUGUUCGGGAUUUACAUCCUGAGUAACGUAGCUAACGCGUGAAGUCAGUCGGCUGGGGAGUACGGUCGCAAGAUUAAAACUCAAAGGAAUUGACGGGGGACCGCAAAAGCGGUGGAUGAUGUGGAUUA
rnacentral:rRNA from 1 species